GCCAGGGUGGUGUAAUGGUUCAGCUUUGGACUACGAUUCUGGAGAUUAGGGUUCGAGUCUCUGCUUGGCCA